rnacentral:rRNA from 1 species
GACGAACCGUGCGAACGUUAUUCGGAAUCACUGGGCUUAAAGCGCGUGUAGGCGGGAGGGCGCGUCCGUCGCUGAAAUCCCCCGGCUCAACCGGGGAACGGGCGCGGAUACGACCUUCCUGGAGGGGCGUAGGGGGACCUGGAACUUCCGGUGGAGCGGUGAAAUGCGUUGAGAUCGGAAGGAACGCCCGUGGCGAAAGCGAGGUCCUGGACGCCUACUGACGCUGAGACGCGAAAGCCAGGGGAGCGAACGGG